AUGGAGAGUUCAGAAACUCGUCCAUCUGAAGCCGUGUCAUCCAAAACCCAUACCGAAAAUCUCAUAGCAACACUUCCAACCAGAGAAGGAUGGUCCACGCCACUCCUCCUCUACAACAACUGCUGGAUCAGACCACAUUGCCUCAACGAUGCCAUGGCUGUCCAGGACAAGCUCAAGCCCAGCCCCGACGACAUCAUCCUCGCCGCGCAUCCGAAAUGCGGCACCACCUGGCUGAAGGCCCUCCUGUUUACCGUCCUAAACAGAUCUCGCUACACCUUCGCCGACCACCCGCUGCUCACGGUGGGUCCUCAUCAACUUGUGCCUUUCGUCGCGCUACUGCCGGGAGACCUCGACAGAGCCGAGAUGCUGCCCUCUCCGCGGCUGCUCUCCACCCACCUGCCGCUCCCCCUGCUCCCACCCGCAGUUUCCACCCUCGGCUGCCGGAUCGUGUGCGUCUGCCGGGAGCCCAAAGACGCAUUUCUCUCAAGGUGGCACUUUGAGAAGAAGUUGCACCAAGGUAUAUCCCUAGGUAUGGAUGAAGCAUUCGCAAUGUUCUCCGAGGGGUGCACGCCUUACGAUCCUUUCUGGGAUCGCUAUCUCGAGUACUGGAAAGAAAGUUUGGCGAGACCACGAGAGGUGAUGUUUCUAAGGUAUGAGGAGAUUAUGUCAGACACACCCAAGGUUAUUAGGAAGCUAGCAAGCUUCCUCGGCGUCCCGUUCACCCGUGAGGAGGAAAGCGGCGGAGUCGUGGAGCAAGUAGCUGAUUUAUGCGGCUUCACUUCACUUAGCAGCGUCGACCCCAAUCGGGCAGAUCGUGUUGAAGUUGAGCAUGCAGGAGUUAAGCUCGUUGUUAAUCCCUCUUCGCUGUUUAGGAAAGGGGAGGUUGGAGAUUGGGUGAACCACAUGAGCAAGGACAUGGCAGCUAGAAUGGGCCAACUUGUCGCUGAGAAGUUCAAGGGAUCAGGUCUCACGUUCUGA
rnacentral:rRNA from 1 species